rnacentral:lncRNA from 1 species
UUCACCAGAAAUACUUCUCUCUCGAAGGGGGUUAAACAAGGGCAAGGGCAAAAUGGUCAUUUUCCGAAUGUGACAACAUCAUGAAAAUGAUAUCAACACAACAAGCUUGACAAUACAAAGACGAGGGCUUUGGAAUCACCUGAAUCGAUGUUACAGCCGCGAAGAUAUGGAUGGACAAAGAUCACGGACCAAUGUGCAAAAAGAGCCUCACAAACAGGCCCGUGGAUGAAAAACAAAAAACGCCUUUCAUAGGAAUACGCCUUCUGCAAACAGAAAACAUACCUCAGCCCGAAGAAGAAGCAGAAUACUCUUUCUAAUUCGGGAGGCGUACUCUGGGAAAUACACUUCUACUUAAAAACGGUCACCGCGCUGGGCCGGUCAACACCGAG